rnacentral:misc_RNA from 1 species
GAUGAAGAACGUAGCGAAAUGCGAUACGUAAUGUGAAUUGCAGAUUUCAGUGAAUCAUCGAAUCUUUGAACGCACAUUGCGCCCGCUAGUAUUCUGGCGGGCAUGCCUGUUCGAGCGUCAUUUCAACCAUCAAGCCCUAGGCUUGCGUUGGAGCCCUGCGGCUGCCGCAGGCUCCCAAAUCCAGUGGCGGGCUCGUCGUCGUACCGAGUGCAGAACAUCCUCGCUCAGGGAACGUGACGGGUUCUUGCCGUGAAACCCCCCACAUAUCAAGGUUGACCUCGGAUCAGGUAGGAAUACCCGCUGAACUUAAGCAUAUCAAUAAGCGGAGGA